rnacentral:rRNA from 1 species
UGGGUGUAGCGUACCUACUAGCCUACGACGGGUACGGGUUGUGAGAGCAAGAGCCCGGAGAUGGAUUCUGAGACACGAAUCCAGGCCCUACGGGGUGCAGCAGGCGCGAAAACUUUACAAUGCUGGCAACAGCGAUAAGGGAACCUCGAGUGCCAGGUUACAAAUCUGGCUGUCGAGAUGCCUAAAAAGCAUUUCAUAGCAAGGGCCGGGCAAGACCGGUGCCAGCCGCCGCGGUAACACCGGCGGCUCGAGUGGUAACCGUUAUUAUUGGGUCUAAAGGGUCUGUAGCCGGCCGGAUAAGUCUCUUGAGAAAUCUGGCAGCUUAACUGUCAGGCUUUCAGGAGAUACUGUCUGGCUCGAGGCCGGGAGAGGUGAGAGGUACUUCAGGGGUAGGGGUGAAAUCUUGUAAUCCUUGAAGGACCACCAGUGGCGAAGGCGUCUCACCAGAACGGACCUGACGGCAAGGGACGAAAGCUAGGGGCACGAACCGGAUUAGAUACCCGGGUAGUCCUAGCCGUAAACGAUACUCGCUAGGUGUCGGCCACGGUGCGACCGUUGUCGGUGCCGUAGGGAAGCCGUGAAGCGAGCCACCUGGGAAGUA